GCUCCAGAAGUGGCUGAGCCAACCCGCAAGGGAGGCAGGCCCCCAAGGAGUGGCUGGUAACUGGGGUGAAGUCGUAACAAGGUAGCCGUAGGUGAACCUGCAGAAGGAUCA
rnacentral:rRNA from 1 species